AUUAAUAAUUAAUAUAUUUAAUAAAAAUAAUUUUAAUUUAAUAAGUAUUUUAAUGGGGGUUAAAGUAUUUUUUAAAGAAAAAAUUUUUAAAUUUAUAGUUAAUUAGUAUUGUGAAAGAAUUUUGAAAUAUUAUGAAAAAUAAAAUUUUUAGAAAGUAAUUUUUAUUUAUUGUAUCUUGUGUAUCAGAGUUUAUUAAAAAUUUUUAAUUUAUGAAUUAAUUUCUCGAAUUUAAAAGAGUUAAAUAAUUAUUAAAGUUAUUGUAGCAAAAUUAUUUUAAAUAAUUAUUUAGAAAUGAAAUGUUAAUCGUUUUUAAAUAUAUCUAGUUUUUAUAGAAAAAAAUUUAAUUUUAAAUUUAAAAAUUAUUUAAUUAAUUUAUUAAUUAAAUAGUUACUUAAAUUUUAUAAUUUAAGGGAUAAGCUUUAAAUUAAAUUUUUAUAAUAUUAAAUUUUUAUUUUGAAAAUUUUAUAAUUUAUAUUGUUAAUAAAUUUUAUUUUGUUAUAAAUAAUUUCAUUUUUUUUAAAAUUUAAAUUUUAUUUAAUUUUUUAUAUAAAAUUUAUUUAUAAUUAUAUAAAGUUAAUUAUAAUGAUAAAAUUAGUAUAUUAUUUAAUAUUAAAUUAAAAUUAAUUUUUGAUUAAUAAUUAAAUUAAUUAAAAGGAAUUCGGCAAAUAUUUAUUUUCACUUGUUUAUCAAAAACAUGUCUUUUUGUUAUUUAAUUUAAAGUCUAAUCUGCCCACUGAUUUAUAAAAAUUGAAGGGCUGCAGUAUAUUGACUGUACAAAGGUAGCAUAAUCAUUAGUCUCUUAAUUGGUGACUUGUAUGAAAGAUUGGAUGAAAAAUAUACUGUCUCUUAAUUAAUAUAUAGAAUUUAAUUUUUUAUUUAAAAAGUUAAAAUAACUUAAAAAGACGAGAAGACCCUAUAGAGUUUAAUAAAUUAUUUUAUGAAAGUUUUAUUUAUAUUUAUUAAUAAUUUUAUAAAUUUAUUUAUUUAGUUGGGGUGAUAAAAAAAUAAAUUUAACUUUUUUUAAGUAAUUUACAUGGAUAAGUGAUUAAU
rnacentral:rRNA from 1 species